rnacentral:precursor_RNA from 1 species
AUCAUGUUCGCAGUUUCACCCGUUGACUGUCGCACCCUUCUAUAAACCCUAAAUUUUCUCUCUAUCUUUUUUAGUUUGAUUUUCAAGACACUUUGUUUCUCAAUCUUCAGUCUGAUUUUGUGAGCUUACUUCUCUUUCUGAGGCUAUAUAUAUUUCUUUUUCAUAAGAAUUUUCACUAUA